rnacentral:lncRNA from 1 species
ACAAGUAGACCAGAUUUUCAGAACUAAAGAGGAGAGAAAAAAUAGACUUUCAAUCUUGAGAGUUGGGAUCGAAAGAAUAGGACUAAUUUAAAAAAAUCAUAGAAAGUUAGUAGUUGGAGAGCUUAUAUCUUGAGUGUGAGGUUGGCUCUUGUUUAGUGAAGUUAGUGAUAGAGUGAGUGGAGGGCUAAGCUUAGUACAAAAGAGCUUCAGUCUAUUUUUCUUCUUGAGUGUUAAAAAUCAGGAAGUUAUUGUAAUUCUCUGCUUUGGUUGUUGUUUGUUUUCCUGGUACUGCAAGUACUCAUUUGGUGUUGAUGUUGGAUUUCUUGAAGUUGUUACUGGGUUUUCUUGAGUUUUUCUGUUUGGUUAAUCUAUUCCUGGGGUCUUCCUGCACUGUUUGUUACUGGUUUACUGUUGUGGUUGCUGAACCUGUUGUUGAUGUGUUGUGCUACUGCUGCACUACUGACUUCUUCCUCUUCUUUUCUUUCCAAAUACCAGGUACACAAUUGAUACAC